UGGGGAGUCGCCAAGUGGUAAGGCACCAGGUUCUGGUCCUGGCAUUCGCGGGUUCGAAUCCUGCCUCCCCAGCCA
rnacentral:tRNA from 1 species